rnacentral:rRNA from 1 species
ACUUUGAUUAUGGCUCGGGAUGAACGCUGGCGGCGUGCUUAACACAUGCAAGUCGAGCGAGAAGGCUAUGACAGAUUCUUCGGAUGAAGGAAUAGCUGGAAAGCGGCGGACGGGUGAGUAACGCGUGGGUAACCUGCCUUGUACAGAGGGAUAGCCACUGGAAACGGUGAUUAAUACCUCAUGAAACUUAAUUAUCGCAUGGUGAUUAAGUCAAAACUCAGGUGGUACAAGAUGGACCCGCGUCUGAUUAGCUAGUUGGUGGGGUAAAGGCCUACCAAGGCGACGAUCAGUAGCCGACCUGAGAGGGUGAUCGGCCACACUGGAACUGAGACACGGUCCAGACUCCUACGGGAGGCAGCAGUGGGGAAUAUUGCACAAUGGGCGAAAGCCUGAUGCAGCAACGCCGCGUGAGUGAAGAAGGCUUUCGGGUCGUAAAACUCUGUCCUAAGGGAAGAAUAAUGACGGUACCUUAGGAGGAAGCCCCGGCUAACUACGUGCCAGCAGCCGCGGUA